rnacentral:rRNA from 1 species
AACGAACGCUGGCGGCAUGCCUAACACAUGCAAGUCGAACGAGACCUUCGGGUCUAGUGGCGCACGGGUGCGUAACGCGUGGGAACCUGCCCUUAGGUUCGGAAUAACUCCCCGAAAGGGGUGCUAAUACCGGAUAAUGUCUUCGGACCAAAGAUUUAUCGCCUUUGGAUGGGCCCGCGUUGGAUUAGCUAGUUGGUAGGGUAAAAGCCUACCAAGGCGACGAGCCAUAGCUGGUCUGAGAGGAUGAUCAGCCACACUGGGACUGAGACACGGCCCAGACUCCUACGGGAGGCAGCAGUGGGGAAUAUUGGACAAUGGGCGAAAGACUGAUCAAGCAAUGCCGCGUGAGUGAUGAAGGCCUUAGGGUUGUAAAGCUCUUUUACCCGGGAUGAUAAUGACAGUACCGGGAGAAUAAGAUCCGGCUAACUCCGUG